AUACCUUUCUCGGCCUUUUGGCUAAGAUCGGGUGUAGUAUCGGUUCUUGUCGUCACCCUUGCGUUGCAGUAUUGCCUGGGAAGGCACACUCCUACCAAAUCAAUCCAAAUUUUUGUCAUUUUCU
rnacentral:snRNA from 1 species